rnacentral:rRNA from 1 species
AGAGUUUGAUCCUGGCUCGAGGACGAACGCUGGCGGCACGCUUAACACAUGCAAGUCGAACGGAGAUAAUUUGAGUUUACUUAGAUUAUCUUAGUGGCGGACGGGUGAGUAACACGUGAGCAACCUACCUUUGAGAGAGGGAUAGCUUCUGGAAACGGAUGGUAAUACCUCAUAACGUAGUUUUACCGCAUGAUAGGACUACCAAAGAUUUAUCACUCAAAGAUGGGCUCGCGUCUGAUUAGCUAGAUGGUGAGGUAACGGCUCACCAUGGCGACGAUCAGUAGCCGGACUGAGAGGGUGAUCGGCCACAUUGGGACUGAGAUACGGCCCAGACUCC